AGUGAACGCUGGCGGUAGGCCUAACACAUGCCAGUCGAACGGCAGCACAGUAAGAGCUUGCUCUUACGGGUGGCGAGUGGCGGACGGGUGAGGAAUACAUCGGAAUCUACUUUUUCGUGGGGGAUAACGUAGGGAAACUUACGCUAAUACCGCAUACGACCUACGGGUGAGAGCAGGGGAUCUUCGGACCUUGCGCGAAUGAAUGAGCCGAUGUCGGGUUAGCUAGUUGGCGGGGUAAAGGCCCACCAAGGCGAGGAUCCGUAGCUGGUCUGAGAGGAUGAUCAGCCACACUGGAACUGAGACACGGUCCAGACUCCUACGGGAGGCAGCAGUGGGGAAUAUUGGACAAUGGGCGCAAGCCUGAUCCAGCCAUACCGCGUGGGUGAAGAAGGCCUUCGGGUUGUAAAGCCCUUUUGUUGGGAAAGAAAAGCAUCAGGUUAAUACCCCGCUGUUCUGACGGUACCCAAAGAAUAAGCACCGGCUAACUUCGUG
rnacentral:rRNA from 1 species